rnacentral:rRNA from 1 species
GUCGAGCGGACUUGAAGAGAAGCUUGCUUCUCCGAUGGUUAGCGGCGGACGGGUGAGUAACACGUAGGCAACCUGCCCUCAAGCUUGGGACAACUACCGGAAACGGUAGCUAAUACCGAAUAGUUGUUUUCUUCUCCUGAAGAAAACUGGAAAGACGGAGCAAUCUGUCACUUGGGGAUGGGCCUGCGGCGCAUUAGCUAGUUGGUGGGGUAACGGCUCACCAAGGCGACGAUGCGUAGCCGACCUGAGAGGGUGAUCGGCCACACUGGGACUGAGACACGGCCCAGACUCCUACGGGAGGCAGCAGUAGGGAAUCUUCCGCAAUGGGCGAAAGCCUGACGGAGCAAUGCCGCGUGAGUGAUGAAGGUUUUCGGAUCGUAAAGCUCUGUUGCCAGGGAAGAACGCUUGGGAGAGUAACUGCUCUCAAGGUGACGGUACCUGAGAAGAAAGCCCCGGCUAACUACGUGCCAGCAGCCGCGGUAAUACGUAGGGGGCAAGCGUUGUCCGGAAUUAUUGGGCGUAAAGCGCGCGCAGGCGGUCAUUUAAGUCUGGUGUUUAAUCCCGGGGCUCAACCCCGGAUCGCACUGGAAACUGGGUGACU